rnacentral:rRNA from 1 species
AACGAACGCUGGCGGCAUGCCUAACACAUGCAAGUCGAACGAGACCGUCGGGUCUAGUGGCGCACGGGUGCGUAACGCGUGGGAACCUGCCCUUAGGUUCGGAAUAACUCCCCGACAGGGGUGCUAAUACCGGAUAACGUCUUCGGACCAAAGAUUUAUCGCCUUUGGAUGGGCCCGCGUUGGAUUAGCUAGUUGGUAGGGUAAAAGCCUACCAAGGCGACGAUCCAUAGCUGGUCUGAGAGGAUGAUCAGCCACACUGGGACUGAGACACGGCCCAGACUCCUGCGGGAGGCAGCGGUGGGGAAUAUUGGGCAAUGGGCGAAAGCCUGAUCCAGCAAUGCCGCGUGAGUGAUGAAGGCCUUAGGGUUGUAAAGCCCUUUUACCCGGGAUGAUAAUGACAGUACCGGGAGAAUAAGCUCCGGCUAACUCCGUG